UUACGACCACAUCACGUUGAAACAACGAUUCCUGUACGAUCACCGAAGUUAAGCAACGUCGAGCCUGGUCAGUACUUAGAUGGGUGACCGCUUGGGAAUACCAGGUGCUGUAAG